rnacentral:rRNA from 1 species
GGAUAACCUACCUAUAAGACUGGGAUAACUUCGGGAAACCGGAGCUAAUACCGGAUAAUAUAUUGAACCGCAUGGUUCAAUAGUGAAAGACGGUUUUGCUGUCACUUAUAGAUGGAUCCGCGCCGCAUUAGCUAGUUGGUAAGGUAACGGCUUGCCAAGGCAACGAUGCGUAGCCGACCUGAGAGGGUGAUCGGCCACACUGGAACUGAGACACGGUCCAG